UUAAAUUGAAGAGUUUGAUCAUGGCUCAGAUUGAACGCUGGCGGCAGGCCUAACACAUGCAAGUCGAACGGUAACAGGAAUCAGCUUGCUGCUUUGCUGACGAGUGGCGGACGGGUGAGUAAUGUCUGGGAAACUGCCUGAUGGAGGGGGAUAACUACUGGAAACGGUAGCUAAUACCGCAUAACGUCGCAAGACCAAAGAGGGGGACCUUCGGGCCUCUUGCCAUCGGAUGUGCCCAGAUGGGAUUAGCUAGUAGGUGGGGUAACGGCUCACCUAGGCGACGAUCCCUAGCUGGUCUGAGAGGAUGACCAGCCACACUGGAACUGAGACACGGUCCAGACUCCUACGGGAGGCAGCAGUGGGGAAUAUUGCACAAUGGGCGCAAGCCUGAUGCAGCCAUGCCGCGUGUAUGAAGAAGGCCUUCGGGUUGUAAAGUACUUUCAGCGGGGAGGAAGGGAGUAAAGUUAAUACCUUUGCUCAUUGACGUUACCCGCAGAAGAAGCACCGGCUAACUCCGUGCCAGCAGCCGCGGUAAUACGGAGGGGUGCAAGCGUUAAUCGGAAUUACUGGGCGUAAAGCGCACGCAGGCGGUUUGUUAAGUCAGAUGUGAAAUCCCCGGGCUCAACCUGGGAACUGCAUCUGAUACUGGCAAGCUUGAGUCUCGUAGAGGGGGGUAGAAUUCCAGGUGUAGCGGUGAAAUGCGUAGAGAUCUGGAGGAAUACCGGUGGCGAAGGCGGCCCCCUGGACGAAGACUGACGCUCAGGUGCGAAAGCGUGGGGAGCAAACAGGAUUAGAUACCCUGGUAGUCCACGCCGUAAACGAUGUCGACUUGGAGGUUGUGCCCUUGAGGCGUGGCUUCCGGAGCUAACGCGUUAAGUCGACCGCCUGGGGAGUACGGCCGCAAGGUUAAAACUCAAAUGAAUUGACGGGGGCCCGCACAAGCGGUGGAGCAUGUGGUUUAAUUCGAUGCAACGCGAAGAACCUUACCUGGUCUUGACAUCCACGGAAGUUUUCAGAGAUGAGAAUGUGCCUUCGGGAACCGUGAGACAGGUGCUGCAUGGCUGUCGUCAGCUCGUGUUGUGAAAUGUUGGGUUAAGUCCCGCAACGAGCGCAACCCUUAUCCUUUGUUGCCAGCGGUCCGGCCGGGAACUCAAAGGAGACUGCCAGUGAUAAACUGGAGGAAGGUGGGGAUGACGUCAAGUCAUCAUGGCCCUUACGACCAGGGCUACACACGUGCUACAAUGGCGCAUACAAAGAGAAGCGACCUCGCGAGAGCAAGCGGACCUCAUAAAGUGCGUCGUAGUCCGGAUUGGAGUCUGCAACUCGACUCCAUGAAGUCGGAAUCGCUAGUAAUCGUGGAUCAGAAUGCCACGGUGAAUACGUUCCCGGGCCUUGUACACACCGCCCGUCACACCAUGGGAGUGGGUUGCAAAAGAAGUAGGUAGCUUAACCUUCGGGAGGGCGCUUACCACUUUGUGAUUCAUGACUGGGGUGAAGUCGUAACAAGGUAACCGUAGGGGAACCUGCGGUUGGAUCACCUCCUUACCUUAAAGAA
rnacentral:rRNA from 1 species